rnacentral:rRNA from 1 species
UACAGGAGGGUGCGAGCGUUAAUCGGAAUUACUGGGCGUAAAGCGUGCGUAGACGGCUAUCUAAGUCGGGUGUGAAAGCCCCGGGCUCAACCUGGGAAUUGCAUUCGAGACUGAAUAGCUAGGGUGCGGUAGAGGGAAGCGGAAUUUCCGGUGUAGCGGUGAAAUGCGUAGAUAUUCGCAAGAACACCAGUGGCGAAGGCGGCUCACUGGCCCGGUACUGACGCUGAGGUGCGAAAGCGUGGGGAGCAAACAGG